AUUGAACGCUGGCGGCAGGCUUAACACAUGCAAGUCGAGCGGGGUGAUGGUGCUUGCACUAUCACUUAGCGGCGGACGGGUGAGUAAUGCUUAGGAAUCUGCCUAUUAGUGGGGGACAACAUCUCGAAAGGGAUGCUAAUACCGCAUACGUCCUACGGGAGAAAGCAGGGGAUCACUUGUGACCUUGCGCUAAUAGAUGAGCCUAAGUCGGAUUAGCUAGUUGGUGGGGUAAAGGCCUACCAAGGCGACGAUCUGUAGCGGGUCUGAGAGGAUGAUCCGCCACGCUGGGACUGAGACACGGCCCAGACUCCUACGGGAGGCAGAAGUUGGGAAUAUUGGGCAAUGGGGGGAACCCUGAUCCAGCCAUGCCGCGUGUGUGAAGAAGGCCUUAUGGUUGUAAAGCACUUUAAGCGAGGAGGAGGCUCUUUUGGUUAAUACCCAAGAUGAGUGGACGUUACUCGCAGAAUAAGCACCGGCUAACUCUGUGCCAGCCGCCGCUGUAA
rnacentral:rRNA from 1 species